GCCGUGACUUGAGAAGCAAAAGAAAAGAAGAAAUCGGUUCUUCUUAGCUGAAAUGAAAAGAAGAAGAAAGGAAUGAAGCUAGAAAGGAGAGGGCAGCUGCAUGUAGUGGAAAACCAUGGAAUUUGUUUGCUUAGAAGUUAAAAUUUUCAAGUAGAAGGGUAACUCUUCUAAACUCUCCCUUGCCCAUAGCUUUUCGUUGACAAAUUCUGGUUGCAUUGUUGAUUUGAGCUUGACGAAUAUGUGGGAGAAGAGAAGAUUCUCUUUUCUAGUUGCAAAUGUUGCAUGUCUAGUAGAUGAAGAGUUUCUCACUUGUGUUAAAAGAAUCUAGUGAAUGCUUGUGUUGUUAUAAUCUAUUUUUGUAACUUUGGGGUUGAUUGUAUUUAGCUAACAAGGUAGGAGAAGGUGGUAGUAGACAAGGGAAAGAGCAAAUUGAAUAGGUGGAAUCGGUGUUGGGAACCUUGCUUAAGAGCAAAGAGGAUCAAAGUCGGAUAGGGGAAAAGAGAGUAAACGAAUAGCCGUGGACAUCUAAUCGUCGACCACUCCCGAGAUUUUGCUCGUUAGCUAUCGGAUUCGGGAUCAUUGAAGUCGAAGUCAUCCACACUAUCAAAGCCCCCAUUUUGGUACAAUUUUGGUUGAACUUUGAAAUGGCAUGUAUAGGACUACCCUUUUGUUGUAGGUUAUGUACCUUUCGGUUUUGUGUAAAUUCGGAUAGCCAUGCGAAAAUGGCUUAUAUACGUUUCUAGCAUAGUACUAUAAUCGUUUGUAUGUUGAUCAUUAUGAGGUAUGGAAUUGUUUUGAAACGAUUAGCCAUUGGAAUGGUUAAUCAUGAUCACACCUUGUGCUAUGUAUGCAAAA